CUGCAACACACCCUGCAUCACCACCCUCUUUCUCAGAUGGACAGGGCUCCCCACUCCUGAUCUGUAAAAUGGAGUCGAAAGCUCUUGGCAGGGUAUAAAGUCCUGCAUGACCCAGUUUCAUUCUGUCUUGUAUCUCUUGUAGGAUGUAUUAGUCAGCCUACAGGGAGGAGAACAGGAACCUCUCUAUGUAUUUGAACAGCGAAAAUAUGGAACCAAUUAGCCUGGUAUUGCAGGACUGAAAAUAUGAAAAGGUGACACCAAGGUAUACAAAGGUUUAACCACAGAAGGAGCUAUUGAUCCUAAAGCUGGAGGGUCAAAAAGCAGAGAUUGGAAUUAUUAGAACCUAGAAACUUAGAGAGCUGUGGAGAUAUGGCUGAGAUUUCUGAGGAGGGAGAAGUACUAGACAGCUGCUAGUAACUCAGGGCUCAGAGGAGGGUUCUCUCAGGGGAGGUUCUCAUACCUCUAAGGAGAAGAGGGGUUACUCAACUUCUGCUGGGAUUCAGAAGUUUGGAGAAAGCCCCUUGUGGAACUGGGCUUAGACCUCUAAUGAGAGGGAGCCCCCCUGCCAUGGCUUGCACUUGUAUGAGAGGUCCCGUAAGGCUGGGAGUCCAUGAUCCUAGAGGUUGGGACACUUGCAGCUGCCAGGAUGAAGAGCCAUUACUGGGGCAAUGCUGAUGGGAAGCACAGCCAGCAGGUAGGGGCUCCCUCUCUAGAGCCAGCUCCUUGUGGGUCCUAACAGGCAGCCAGCUCCAAAGGAGGCCCCAGCCCUAGCACCACACAGCUGGGUAGAGAAGGGCGAGGAGGAGCUGAGGGGACAACACCUUAAUAACUGGCACAACACCUGCAGUGUUAGAGUCACCAAAGAUGCUUGGCCCUUAUGCAUCUCAACUCUUUGGCGAAGGCUAUCCUCUCUCUUUGGAAUUUUCUUCCCAUCCAAAGGUUGUUUGGCUCCCGUCAGCACUCAAAUGUCUCCUCCUGUGAAGCCUUCCACGUCUGCCCCUAUUUCUAAAUCCCCAAGCCAGAAAAACACCCUUUUCAUAUCCAGUUUCCCCUGGCAUUCAUGAAAUGAUCACAUUUUAUAAUAAUUACUUGCUUCAGGUCUGUAUCUUCUAUUUGACCAUGAACUUGUCAAGGGAAAGAUGUUGCUUUAUUUAUCUUGAUGUCUUCAAUAGUUCAAUAAGUGUGUAUCAAACAGCAAAAGCCCAGAUGUCUGAAUGAAGCCAGAAUGCAGGGGGCAGGUGCAGAUUGCCUGCCUGCAGAGCACAAAGCCCAGAGGAGUCCACAGCUCCAGGAGAGGUUGGUGGGAGGCUGCCCUCCCUCCCUUUCAAUCAUAGUAGAAAACCAGGGAAACAAAAACAUAAAACAAACAUUGUUUCUGGGAAUGUUUUAGAAUGUAGAAAUAGCAUUAGAUUUCUAACUUCACAUACUUUUGGCCAAAGGAAAGUCGAGAAUUGGACUCAAACGUCUCCUGUGUGUGAAGCCUUCCAGGGACCAUUCAGCACAACUCACUUCCCUAUUUCUCCCACUUCUCCACCCUUCUCUUAUUUCUGCAGAACCUUGGCUGCUUACCCAUAGCAAUUACUUCCUGCUGAGGUCUUCAGUAAUAUUGGUUUGAGGUUCUGAAGUGUAUUUUGAUGGGAAUUCCCAAUGGCUGGCAGUCCUUCUAGAAUCUGAGGUCUCAUAUGGGCUCACGUGCUCUGCUUGAGCUCCUCUUUCCUGUGUCACCAUCUAAAAAGUAUCCUUGGUCAGAAAGCUUAAUACCUCCUCUGAAGACUGAUAAUAUACAUCAUCUUCCUGGACCAGUCUACAAGUGAGGGACAGUGAAUAUUUUGAAUGGCAGCUUUUAGAUAACAAAUCCUCAAAGAGAGAUAGAGUCUUACUCAUCUCUAACAUGUGCUUGACUGUGGAAGACUGCCAAUUAAUAAUGAUUGAGUGAUUUGCUAAAUAAAUAAAAUCUCUGAACAUUGCA